CGUAUAUCUUUCGUUUCAAGAACGAGGCGUUAUUUUGACAUUGUUGUUGUUUUAGUAAAAUUGUGGUAUAUUUAACAUUGUGCAUUAUCGCAAAUUGAUAAUGUUAAAAGGAACUAUACUAUUGAAAAUCACUUCUGUGUCUCUUAGGAAAAGCUUCUGCCUCUUUGUUUACUGAAUUGAGGGAGUUCUUGAUCAAGAGGAGCAAUUGUAAAAUACAAUAUGGACGCUAUUAGCAGUUAUAACAAAUAUAAAAAUCCGCGAAACGUGCCUAAUUAAUUUGGAUGUCAAGGCUUGUAAAGUACGUAACGAAAUUUUUCCCUCAUGGCAAGGAUAAGGCAGUCGAAGAUCUUCGUGAGCGGUCCUCUGCUUCAAUAAUUGAGCUCAGAUAACUCCUCAAGCUCAUAGCGCCUAGAGGGUUCAGGUUUUCUGCAGCAAUCUUCUAGAAAUAUUUUCAAAGAAGAGAGGAGGAUUCUUAAGAAAAUUUGAGGCACAAACCAAAUAGAUGGAGAGUACAGACUUAAAUCAAACAAUGAAAUUUAUAAGGGAAUAUAAACAUUUGAAACAGAGAUGAGAAAAAGAAGAUUAGGGGUUUUUUCGCCUUAAGUGCCAGCCAAUGGAAAUCAUCAACGUCAUCGCUUCAUCAACAGACAAUUCACCAUUUCUACCGGCCUGGUACCUCCACCACCACUCAACCCCUAACGAUCAACAAAAAGUUAACAAGUCGUGGGAAAGGCAGCCCCCGACGCAUUUCGAACUAUACCAAGAGGGAGAGUUUACUCGAAUUUCCGACGCGAGCUUAAAGUUGCCAUCAAAGGGCUGGCAAUUUCGACCAUUACAGUGACAGACGAAAUUAAAGGACCUCACUGAUCGCGACGCCCCGCCAAUCGACGUGUUUCAGAGGAAAAAAGAUCCUAUACAAUCGCUCGUCACUCACAAAAACCGGCCCCUAGUGUCAGCCAACACACAUUGCCGAGAUGCUGUACUGCCACGGUGUUAAGAAUGGACGCCUUCCAGAGCUUUUCGCACUCGAUCGGGCAAAAACUGCCGCUACUCUCCGUGUGCCCGACUCGAAGGGAAAAACCCGUCCACUUGCUAGAAAAGCGUCAAAGAUAAAGCGGCCUGUUCCCACUGUACUGGAAAUCAUAGCUUCAAGAGGUGGACAAUAAGUUAGAUCGUCCUAUGCACCCUUUCUUAGAACAAAACCUCGAGCGUACUCUGCCCCGACUUGCGCCCUCUCUUUACUCUUCGCACCGAAGCUCGGUAAGUUCAUAGUAGUAAGAAGAAGAAACGCAUCCCAACACAGCAACACAUAACCAUCAGCAGCCUUAACGUCCAAACUGUUUAACUACAAGACUACCACUAAAACCACGGCGUCAUCCACCAGAGGCGCAAUUUCAGCGAUCAUCCCACCGACACCCUCUACAACUCGUCAAUUCCUCGUCAAAAGUUCCGGACACGCCACUACUAUAUACUUUCUCCGCCAUCGCCGCUAUGGUCAAGAAAUCACCCCAGAUAAAAACCAGCCACCAAAGAAAACGUGACCGCAUACGAGAUUCACGCUCAAGAGGGGCGGGUGGAAAGAAUUGCAGGAGCCAAUGUUCGGAAAAACAUCAUCACCAUAUAAUUAUCAUAUAAUAAAAGUUAAAAGAUCUACAGGACUUAUUGGUUCUGAAUCGUCUCUAGCGGAAAAAGCAUUUUGCAGUAAACAAUUACACUAUUAAGUUCUGAUCCCAUCACGUCCUUUUCAUAAAUCAUCUACAGUGAUGAUCAUGUAGAAAUAGACAUAGGGAUUUUCUAUAGGAAUGUCCUAUGUCUACUUUUAAAUGACAAAAAGUCUUCUAAAGGACGCCUAACUUGUUUCAAGAAGUUAUUUUGGUUGCAUAAAAUUAGGCGUCUUUCAGAAGCCGUUUUAUCAUCUCAAAGUAGAUAGGAAAUCCCUUAGACUAGGAAAGAGAGGGCCUAUGUCUACUUCUACACGAAUAUCACGUACUUAUCUUAAAACAGAAGAGACGAUGUCAGUUCUGUUUUAUUACACCACUGCCAAUAAUGACGCGUUUCCCCCCACUCUUAUAACUUCCUUUUUGUUCAUUUUCGUCUCGACCCCUUUUAAUACAUGGUUCUCUCCUUUUAUUUUACUCGUAGGUUUCUAGGUAUCGAGGGCGCGUUUAACAACGCCACCUUAGAUUCAAUUA